GUGCUCACUUUGGCAGCACAUAUACUAAAAUUGGAAUAGUACAGAGAAGAUCAGCAUGGCCCCUGCACAACGAUGACAUGCAAUUUCAUGAAGCAUUCCAUAUUUUU
rnacentral:snRNA from 1 species